UACGAAGGGGGGCUAGCGUUGCUCGGAAUUACUGGGCGUAAAGGGCGCGUAGGCGGACAUUUAAGUCGGGGGUGAAAGCCCAGGGCUCAACCCUGGAUAGCCUUCGAUACUGGAUGGUCUUGAGUUCGGGAGAGGUGAGUGGAACUCCGGAGUGUAGAGGUGAAAUUCGUAGAUAGUUGGGAAGAACGACCGGUGGCGAAGGCGAGUCUCUGGACAUUUCCUGGACGCUGAGGCACGAAAGCCAGGGGAGCAAACGGGG
rnacentral:rRNA from 1 species